rfam:Acanthamoeba castellanii str. Neff unplaced genomic scaffold scf7180000084641, whole genome shotgun sequence.
AGCUCCAUGGUGUAGUUGGCAGCAUGCGUGAUUUUGGUUCACGUGACCCGAGUUCGAUUCUCGGUGGGGCUA